rnacentral:lncRNA from 9 species
GUUUGCAUCUACCAACCCCACAUACCCAGUCCAUCCCACCCCCUCCCUUGUCACAUGUUAAGAGGGAGGAAAAGUCCCCAGAGGCCCCAAAGCAGACCUGACUCAUAUUUCACUCACCACAGUCCUUCACAUGGCCCCUCCCAAAGCAACCCCUGCCCGGGGGCCGGCAGACCCAUGAUAGACUUCACCAGACACAGCUGGGGCCCUGGGGACAGUGGAGCCACCAGGUCUUGGGGGCGGGGGGGCAGAGAAGUCCUACACUCCCUCCCGGACAGCCAGCCCAGCCCAGGUAGGGAAGCAGGACUUGUUGAGGCGCCUCAGAGAAGGACAGAUUUAUUUCUGCUGGCUGCGCAAGGCCAAGGGCAAGAGUGCAGGGCUGAACAGAGAAGGACUUUUGGAGGCAGAGCGGCUCAGCCCUGACAAGCACACAGAUCACCUGACCCGUGAGGCCUAGGGUGAGACCUGAGGUUCUGAAUUGCUCGUAAGCACCAAAGUGAAGCUCAAGCUGCUGGUCUGUAGCCUCCACUGUGAAUGGAUGAUGAUGGAGAGAAAACGACAGCUUAGAGGAGGAGGUGGCCGACUCAAAGUGGUCUCUUCAGGAUGUGAAGUUGUCUGCAGAUACUCUGAAUUCUGAGGCUGAAAUGGAAAAGACAUUUGAUCUAGAAUGGAAGGUAAAAGUGACACGAGUCGUAGGUGUCCAGGAUCUGUUUCCUCCAUGAUGAAGGUAUCCUAAGUUCAAGUCAACUCCUGGACUUUCCUGAGUCAUUCCAAAAUCCAAGGCCACCCCUUGGCAUCCCAGAACAGCCCCUCACACAGAGGGAUUCUAAGUAGUCUGUGCCUUGAAUAACAAAUGCCAGAGUGGGAGCUCCCACUGUGGCUCAGCAGUUAAGGACCCAAUAUAGUCUCCAUGAGGAUGCGGGUUCAAUCCCUGACCUCCCUUGGUGGGUUAAAAAUCCGGUGUUGCCUGGAGCUGCCGCAGAGGUCACAGACGUGGCUUGGAUCUGGCGUUGCUGUGGCUGUGGCACAGGCCAGCAGCUGCAGCUCCGUUUCAGUCCCUAGUCUGGCAACUUCCACAUGCCGCAGGUGCAGCCCUUAAAAAAAAAAAAAAAAAAAAAAGCCAGAGUCCCGACUCCACACUUGUUCUCCUCAGGUCCCCAAAGGCAGCCAAUCAGAAGUGUCUAUUGAGGACAAGUGUCCCCAUGCAAAAACCCUGGGACAGCAGGAAAUUGCCACCCAAAGGCAUGGAUGACCCUUUUAAAUCCGUGAAUGGAGGGAGACCGAGGAGUGUCUGCGGGGGUGAAGGCUGCUGCAGUCAGUGUCAGAAAGAGGCCAUCGGGGGCCCUCUGCUCCCCUAAAGGCCAGUCAUUCAAUUGUCCCCCUAGGAGUCACCAGCAGGGAACCUGCCCGUCUGGACCCCAAGUGUGAGCAGAGAAUGAACAUCCGGGUACGUAACAGCAGGCUGAUGACCCUGGGAACAGAGAGUCCC